GAUGAAGAACGCAGUGAAAUGCGAUAAGUAAUGUGAAUUGCAGAAUUCAGUGAAUCAUCGAAUCUUUGAACGCACAUUGCGCCCGCCAGUAUUCUGGCGGGCAUGCCUGUUCAAGCGUCAUUUCAACCAUCAAGCCCCCGGCUUGUGUUGGGGACCUGCGGCUGCCGCAGGCCCUGAAAAGCAGUGGCGGGCUCGCUGUCACACCGAGCGUAGUAGCAUACAUCUCGCUCUGGGCGUGCUGCGGGUUCCGGCCGUUAAACCACCUUCAUAACCCAAGGUUGACCUCGGAUCAGGUAGGAAGACCCGCUGAACUUAAGCAUAUCAAUAAGCGGAGGA
rnacentral:misc_RNA from 1 species